UACGGAGGGUCCGAGCGUUAUCCGGAAUCACUGGGCGUAAAGGGAGCGUAGGCGGCGCGGUAAGUCAGAUGUGAAAUCUCAGAGCUCAACUCUGAAACUGCAUCCGAUACUGCCGUGCUAGAGUAAUGGAGGGGUAAGUGGAAUUCUCGGUGUAGCAGUGAAAUGCGUAGAUAUCGAGAGGAAGACCAACGGCGAAGGCA
rnacentral:rRNA from 1 species